rnacentral:snRNA from 1 species
UUACUUCCCUGGUAGGGGAGAUAGCAUGAUAAAGAAGGUGGUUUCAUCUAUUGUACUAUGGGUCUGCUGACCUCUGCGAUUUCCUCAAAUUAGGGAAACUCAAAAAUAAUUUGUGGUAGCUUCGAUAUUCCCCCAGC